rnacentral:misc_RNA from 1 species
UCCGAGUUGACCCCGGCAGUCUCCUGCGAGUCCCCGCCAUUACGCGCUGGCAACACAGGACAAGGGUUGCGCUCGUUGCGGGACUUAACCCAACAUCUCACGACACGAGCUGACAACAGCCAUGCACCACCUGUGUAGAGCCCCGAAGGACACCACAUCUCUGUGGCUUUUCUCUACAUGUCAAACCCAGGUAAGGUUUUUCGCGUUGCAUCGAAUUAAGCAACAUGCUCCGCUGCUUGUGCGGGUCCCCGUCAAUUCCUUUGAGUUUUAGCCUUGCGGCCGUACUCCCCAGGCGGGGCGCUUAAUGCGUUAGCUGCGGCACGGAACUCGUGGAAUGAGCCCCACACCUAGUGUCCAUCGUUUACGGCUAGGACUAC